AGAGUUUGAUCCUGGCUCAGAAUGAACGUUGGCGGCGUGGAUUAGGCAUGCAAGUCGAGCGCGAACCUGUCUUCGGACAGGGGACAGCGGCGAACGGGGUAGGAAUACCUCGGUGACGUACCCCCGGGUCGGGGAUAGCGGCGGGAAACUGCCGGUAAUACCCGAUACUCUGCCUUGAUUUGAACUUGGGGCAGCAAAGGUGUGAUUCCGUCUGGGGAGCGGCCGAGGCCGUAUUAGCUUGUUGGUGGGGUAACGGCUCACCAAGGCGAUGAUGCGUAGGGGGUGUGAGAGCAUGGCCCCCACCACUGGCACUGAGACACUGGCCAGACACCUACGGGUGGCUGCAGUCGAGAAUCUUCGGCAAUGGGCGCAAGCCUGACCGAGCGACGCCGCGUGCGGGAUGAAGGCCUUCGGGUUGUAAACCGCUGUCGGAGGGGAUGAAGUGCACGAGGGUACUCCCUUGUGUUGACAGAGC
rnacentral:rRNA from 1 species